UCCUGGAAGGGCAGGAGGCGGUGGUCAGUGGGGUCCCGCCCCAGUGCCGCCCCUGUCCCGCCCCGCGGAGGAGCGCUGGCGGGUGGGCCAUGGGAGUCGUCCUCUGGGGCCCGCGAGGCUCAUUUGGUGGCGCACGCCUGGGCGAGAGCUCUGCAGGGAAAACCUGGGACUGGAGUGCAUCCUCCUAUUGCCGUCGCCAACAGAACAGACAUGCACCAGCGGCGGCCGGGCGCGCCCCUGGGCCUGGCGCCCGCGCGGGGGCUCUGAGGCCGCCACCCCCAUGAGCGCAGCCGGGCGCUGAGCCGCGCGAGCCAUGCAGUGCUGGGCCGCAGCCGCGGCAGUGGCCCUCCUCUGGCCACAGCUCACGCUGUUUAGCUGUGCCGGGGCGCGUCGGGAGCCCAAGAGGCCGCGCCAGCUGGACCAGCGUACAGAGUCCCCCAACACCACCGUAUCCAACAGCGAGGGGCUACCAGGCUCCGCCAAGCCGCUGGAGGCCUCAGGACCUGAGUUCUCAAAUGCCCACAUGACGUGGCUGAACUUUGUCCGUCGGCCAGAUGAUGGGGCUUCCAAGCGACGGUGCCGGUGCCGAGACAAGAAGUUGCGAAGCCUCUUGGGUCCCCCAGGCCCCCCUGGUCCCCCCGGGCCCCCAGGUCCCCCUGGUGCGGAAGUCACCCCAGAGUCCCUCCUGCAGGAGUUUCAGGAGAUGCUGAGAGAGGCCACGGAGCGACGGUUCUCAGCACUGCUGGACACAUGGCUGCCCCAGGUGGGUGGCCAGCAACAGGUGGUUGAGGCUUUCCACUGCCGGCUGAAGGGUCCCAUGCUGGUGGACCAGAGGACCCUGGUGGAGCUGCGGGGCUUCCAGGCUCCCACUGCCCAGCGUGCCUUCCUGAGGGGGUCCGGACUGAGCCUGGCCUCUGGCCGAUUCACAGCCCCCAUCUCUGCCAUCUUCCAGUUCUCUGCCAGCCUGCACGUGGCCUGCUCUGGGCCUGUCCUGAAGCCAGUGUCUCCACAGACCACGGUGCCCUGCAGGGCAGGGCCCGGCUGCGAGCCCGGGACACUGUGCGUGUCCUCAUCUGCAUAGAGUCCUUAUGCCAUCGCCACAUGUCCCUGGAGGCCAUCUCAGGUCUGGAGAGCAACAGCCGGGUCUUCACAGUACAGGUGCAAGGGCUGCUGCAGCUGCAGGCAGGACAGUAUGCAUCUGUGUUUGUGGACAAUGGCUCUGGGGUGGCCCUCACCAUUCAGGGUGGCUCCAUCUUCUCUGGGCUGCUCCUGGGCACAUGAGGGUACCAGGAAGGAACUGCCAGCCACCUCAGGGAGAAGGUGAAGAGGAUCCCCAUGGUGGCCCCUGUGGUCACAACAAUAAAGAGCCCUAGCCCUCCCUGUG